rnacentral:rRNA from 1 species
UACGGAGGGUGCGAGCGUUGUCCGGAAUCACUGGGCGUAAAGGGCGCGUAGGUGGCGCGGGUAGUCAUCGGUGAAAGCUCAGGGCUCAACCCUGAGUCGGCCGGUGAUACUCCCGUGCUUGAGUGUGGUAGAGGCCAAUGGAAUUCCGGGUGUAGCGGUGGAAUGCGUAGAGAUCCGGAAGAACACCGGUGGCGAAGGCAGUUGGCUGGGCCACAACUGACACUGAUGCGCGACAGCGUGGGGAGCAAACAGG